UACAGAGGUCCCGAGCGUUGUUCGGAUUUACUGGGCGUAAAGGGCGCGUAGGCGGCAUGUUAAGUCAGCUGUGAAAUCUCCGAGCUUAACUCGGAACUGUCAGCUGAUACUGAUGUGCUAGAGUGCAGAAGGGGCAAUCGGAAUUCUUGGUGUAGCGGUGAAAUGCGUAGAUAUCAAGAGGAACACCUGAGGUGAAGACGGGUUGCUGGGCUGACACUGACGCUGAGGCGCGAAAGCCAGGGGAGCAAACGGG
rnacentral:rRNA from 1 species